UAGUGAGCUUAAGUAAGUGACGUUUUUGACAACACGAACGGCAUGAGUAACGUCAGAAGACUGGGUCAAAGGCAGAAGGGCUGUGAUUGGUGAAAAACGUCAACUUUAUUUCCGGUCGACGUCCGUGUUGUCAAAAACGUCAAUUGCUUAAGCUCACUA